ensembl:lncRNA R3HDML-AS1 R3HDML antisense RNA 1
GGGAGAAAAAGAAUCAGAGAUGCAGAGACCAAAACAAAAACAGGCAGAGAUAGAACGGACAGUAGACAAAAGAGAGAGAGACCGAGGCAGAGAUAGAGAAAAAAAGGCCCAGAGAGAGUCCCCUCAGGCCAACUUUGGUUUUCACUUCUCAGUUCUGAGAGCCGAGGAAGCAGGAAGGAGCUGUGAGAGACUGAGCUCUAACCUUGGCCAUCAAAGACAAGCUGUGCAGCUCUGGUUUUUUGAGGGCAGGACAUGGAGGGUCAGGCCCAGCUGGAGGCGCACCAAAGCCCAGAGAAAAUUCAGAACCACGUGAACUUGUUGGAUUUCAGCCCCUUGAAGCACAUGUUGCUAUUGCAGCUGCCUUGAUAACUGGGGGGACAGGAGG